rfam:Erinaceus europaeus unplaced genomic scaffold scaffold00481, whole genome shotgun sequence
GUGCUUGCUUCAGUAGCACAUAUGCUAAAAUUGGAACAAUAUAGAGAAGAUUAGCAUGGCCCCUGCACAAGGAUGACACAAAAAUUAGUGAAGCAUUCUAUAUUAAA